rnacentral:rRNA from 1 species
AUGCCUUGUGCGCAAACCAGACGAGGAGUGGGGCAAUGGCUCCCCCCAAGAAGAACCAGUUCACCGCCGAGGCAGGUCCAAGGGCUGCCUGCUGGGAGGAGCUCGGUGUCGCAGAUGUUGGGGAUUGAGUCCAUCAGCCACCAUGCCGUUCCAAGAAUUUUACCUUCCAUGGAAGAGGAGGACAUGGACGAUCGUUGCGGUAAGGGAUGCAAAACCAACACCAUACGUGACUGCAAAGAAGGUGCUGAGGUACAGUGGACCAUUCUUUUCAUAGGCCUUCGUGUCAAAAUGGAACUGGGCGUCCACGAUGCUCGUGAUGUUGUACUUCUGCCCGGACUCGGUGAACAGCCCAUCGGAGAAGAUGGGGAAGUUCCGGGCCUUGUAGAAGUUGAACCAGUACGCGAUGGGCGUGAUCACGUACAUGAUGAUGAAGAAUCCUGCAGCGACGUUGGCGGUGGCGAACCAGGGGCUGGCGAGGGGGCUCCCGAGGUAGGAGGAGACGGAGGCCCAGUCGAGGCCGAUGGAGCCGAUGCCGAGACCGUAGAGGCCCGAGCCGAGCUGCUGGGCGAACACGGAGUUGGGGAAGACCCAGCAGAUCCAGGAGAGUGA